UGAAACCGUUGAAAUAGCCACUUCGUAGAUGAAAAGAUUGAAUAUCAGAUGUUUCUUAUGAUUCAACCAAUAUUUAAGUCUAAGUGACAGCGAUGACAAAGAGAGUUAGUGUGAUAGAGAAGAGGUCCAAGGACUGAGCUCAGGCUUAUUCCACCUAUUAGGCAUCAGGAAGAAGAGAAAGACCCAGCAUAGGAGUAUCCUGGGAUGUAGGAAGAAAGCCAGGAGCUUGUGGUCCCUGGAAACCAAAUAAAGAAUGUGCUUCAAGUGUCUGUUUCCUUCUGGACUUCCUUAGGGGAAAGGAGGGCUGGAACUGACGUGCCUGCUUCCCUCACCCGCAGGGGGAUCUCCCCCGGGCCACUUUGUGUCGUUCGUGCAUUCGUCGGUCACUUCUCAGGCAUGGAUGGAGCCCGCUGCUUGCCCAGCACUGAGUUGGAUUGCAUGCGAGUCAGAGGCACUACAUGCAACACCUCACCUGCGUUAUGUCAUUGAAUUGUCACAAAAAUCCCUUGGAGGUAAAUAUUAUUAUCUUCAUUUGCAUUUAAGGAAACUAACAGUCGAGAAACUUGAAGUCAAACCCUGGCUGCUGAGGUCGCACAGGUGGUAUUUCAGAGGCGUCUGCUGCCCAUCCUACUUUCUCUUAGUCCAGUGCCUCUCACGAUGUGGUCUUUGAACCACCGAAAUCAGAAAAUCGUGGGACUUUCUAACCUGCAGGUCCCUGGACUCUCUCUUAGACUCAGGGAAUGGAAAUCCCUGGGAAGUGGUCCUGGAAUCUGCAUUGUAAACCACAUUUUGGACCUUGGGGAGGGAGUGUGUGGUUAACCCUAGGAACAGAACCGGCCCCUCCGUGUGGAGGCUGACCUGUGUUUUAGUCCUUGACUGAGUUCACGCUCUUUAUUUAAUCUCUCUUGGCUUCCAUUUCCUCAUUUGUAAACCAGGGUCUCCUGGUGGUUGUGAGGCUCGAAGACGAUGUGCAGAAAGUAGAAUAAAAUGUUAGACGUAGAAAGCUCCGUGCAAAUGCGUGGGGGUAUUAAUCGUGGG